ensembl:processed_transcript
GUCAAACGAAAAAGGCCCAGAAAAAUGGAAUGCGUGUCUCAGGCACCUGUACUCUCGGGUGAAAACAAAUGUAGUAAGUUAAUAAAAAAUAGAAAAGUUGUCACAAAGUAUCACUUGAUUCAUAUGUUUAAUGUUAUGACAAAUUAUAGCAAAUAUACAUUUAUACAUGUAACUUUUACCUUUUGCCAUUUAUUGCAUCUUUGUCUUUUAUUUUAAGUGUUAAAUAGAGGUUUGUAUGUAGCAUUGUAAAGGUGAUGCACUUGACAAUAUCUUAGUUUUUCCUCCUUCAGCCAUGGAUCCAAAAGGAGGCCUUUGUGAUUUACCAUCAGACCUGCUCAGACAGAUUCUUCUAGAUGUUGUUUUCGAUGAAGGAGAUGGAGCCUUCCUCACACUCUCACUUGUGUGAAGAAAGUUUUGUGACAUUGUCUGCAGUCAAGUUUUCCGUAGAAAAUAUCACUUGGCCUGGCUCGACAGCAUCACUGACUGGAAAUCUACAAGUCCAGAUAUAAAAGACAAAUAAAGAGUGGAGUUCAAACUCUCCACGUGUGAAUCAUGUGGUUGGCUGUACAAAGACACAAUUGGAUACUGUGGUGAUGGGAAGAAAGGGGUGUAUAGAGCUUUUUAUUCUGACAAAGAGUUCGAUGGCUACUGCUCGAUGCACUGCUUCUAUACAAUGAAUGACUGAAUGAAUGGAUGGCUGGAUUUGUAGUUACGGAUGGUAUUCGUGGCUAACUGAUGGAUGAUUGGAUUUGUGGUGAAUGGAAGAGGAUGGAUUUGUUUAUUUGAUUUAAAUUUGUUUGUUUUUUUGUUGAUUAAACAAAUGUUUCAUGGA